CUGAACUGCUUAGGGAAAGAGGCCUGGAUGUGGCCAUCUGUUCUCUGUCUCCCGGUUGCUGAUGGUCAGAGAUUGCUAAAUCUUUGGAUGCUGUGUCCUGCUUGAACACGUACUAAGUUUCUGUUUUUUGGCUGGUUUCCUCUGUUUACUUCUUUGGCCUUUUUGAUGACAAUUCAGCCCUUCCUUUUCUUGACCCACAGGAAGAGGUCAAGAGCUAUUGGCCUCCACCCUUUUGUUCCUCAGCACCAACCCAGCCCCCUUCUCCAAUCUCUGCUUGGUCCUGCCUAGCAAGGAAUCCCAGCACUUUGGGAGGCUGAGGCGGGGGGAAUCACAUGAGGUCAGGAGUUCGAGACUAGCCUGACCACCAUGGUGAAACCCUGUCUCUAAUAAAAAUACAAAAAUUAGCUGGGCCUGGUGGUGCAUGCCUGUAAUCCCAGCUACUCAGGAGGCUGAGGCACGAGAAUCCUUUGAACCCGG
rnacentral:lncRNA from 10 species